GUGCCUGUAGCUCAGUUGGAUAGAGCGUUUGGCUACGAACCAAAAGGUCGCAGGUUCGAGUCCUGCCAGGCACGCCA
rnacentral:tRNA from 1 species